rnacentral:rRNA from 1 species
GACGAACCGUGCGAACGUUGUUCGGAAUCACUGGGCUUAAAGGGCGCGUAGGCGGGCUGACAAGUCUGGGGUGAAAUGCCGCGGCUCAACCGUGGAACUGCCUUAGAUACUGUCGGCCUCGAGGAAGGUAGGGGCAUGCGGAACUGUAGGUGGAGCGGUGAAAUGCGUUGAUAUCUACAGGAACUCCGGUGGCGAAAGCGGCGUGCUGGACCUUUUCUGACGCUGAGGCGCGAAAGCUAGGGGAGCGAACGGG